rnacentral:ncRNA from 1 species
UCAUCAGCUCACGUUGAUUACGUCCCUGCCCUUUGUACACACCGCCCGUCGCUAUCCGGGACUGAACUGAUUCGAGAAGAGUGGGGACUGUGGCUGCGAGGUUUUACCACUUCGCAGUUGCGGAAACCAUUUUUAUCGCAUUGGUUUGAACCGGGUAAAAGUCGUAACAAGGUAGCUGUAGGUGAACCUGCAGCUGGAUCAUCG